CCCUACGGGGCGCAGCAGGCGCGAAACCUUCACACUGUGCGAAAGCACGAUGAGGGGAUCCCAAGUGCUUGCACGUAAGUGUAAGCUGUUUCUUUGUUUAAAAUGCAUAGAGAGUAAGGGCUGGGUAAGACGGGUGCCAGCCGCCGCGGUAAUACCUGCAGCUCGAGUGGUGACCACUAUUAUUGGGCCUAAAACGUCCGUAGCCGGUUUGAUAAAUGCCUGGGUAAAUCGUAUAGCUCAACUAUACGAAUUCCGGGUAGACUGUCAAGCUUGAGACCGGGAGAAGCUAGAGGUACUCUUGGGGUAGAGGUGAAAUUCUGUAAUCCUGAGGGGACCACCAGUGGCGAAGGCGUCUAGCUAGAACGGGUUUGACGGUGAGGGACGAAGCCCUGGGGCGCGAACCGGAUUAGAUACCCGGGUAGUCCAGGGUGUAAACGCUGCUUGCUUGAUGUUAGUCGGGCUCCGAGCCCAACUAGUGUCGGAGAGAAGUUGUUAAGCAAGCUGCCUGGGAAAUACGAUCGCAAGAUUGAAACUUAAAGGAAUUGGCGGGGGAGCAC
rnacentral:rRNA from 1 species